AUUGAACGCUAGCGGGAUGCCUUACACAUGCAAGUCGAACGGAGUGGCGAACGGGUGAGUAAUGUAUCGGAACGUGCCCAGUAGCUGGGGAUAACUACGCGAAAGCGUAGCUAAUACCGCAUACUAUUGGAGCGGCCGAUAUCGGAUUAGCUAGUUGGUGGGGUAACGGCCCACCAAGGCGACGAUCCGUAGCUGGUUUGUGAGGACGACCAGCCACAAUGGGACUGAGAAACGGCCCAGACUCCUUCGGGAGGCAGCAGUGGGGAAUUUUGGAAAAUGGGGGAAACCCUGAGUGAGCCAUCCCGCGUGUGGGAUGAAGGCAUUCGGGUUGGAAAGCAAUUUUGGCAGGAAAGCGGUACCUGCAGAAUAAGCACCGGCUAAAUACGUGCCAGCCGCCGCGGUAAUAC
rnacentral:rRNA from 1 species